CGAGCCAGGACAUCCGGGCCGGAGGCGCGAACCACGAUGGUGGCUUCCGCCGUCCUCAAGCUGAGCGUGGACUACGAGCAAAGCCAUGAGCCCAUCGGCAAGGCCGUCUACUCCGACACCGUCUCCGUCGGGAAGGACAGCCUCUGGAGGGUCGAGUGCUUGCUCCGCGGGGAGAAGGUCUCCGACGGGGGCAAGUACAUUUCAGUCUUCCUCAGGCACAUGGGCGAAUCCACAACCGUCAUGCCUGUCUUCGAGGUUUGCUUGAUGGACAGGGGCGGCAGGCCGUCAAUGCGCCAAAGAAAGACCACUCUUCGUGACUACGACGGGAACGGCCGCACCUGGGGAUGGGCUCAGUUCAUCGCAGGAAGUCUGGCGGAGAGAAAUUACACAACGGCUGAUGGGCACAUUACAUUUUUGUGCUCCAUCAUGGUCAUCGAUGAAAGCUCCACUCCGGUGCCGCCCUCCGACAUCGGGGCCCAUCUCGGCCAACUGCUAGAUCAGGCCGAGGGGACAGAUGUGUCAUUCAUCAUCGAGGGCCAGAUGUUCCCCGCUCACCGAGCAGUGCUAGCCGCUCGUUCGCCGGUCUUCAGGGCGGAGCUCUCCGGCUCCAUGUCCGAGGCUACAAUGCCAUCCAUCACGCUGCAGGACAUCACGCCUGCGACAUUUGAAGUUAUGCUUAGGUACAUGUACACGGAUGCCUUGCCCGCAGACAACCUGCCUGGGGGCCGUCCCAUUGACAUGCUUCAGGAUCUGCUUGCUGCGGCCGACCGGUAUGCACUCGACAGGCUAAAGAUUAUUUGCGCGCACAAGUUAUGGGAGGAGGUGUCUGUAGAAACAGCCGCAACUAUCUUAGCUUGCGCCGAAACCUACAGCUGUGCAGAGUUGAAGAGCAAGUGCAUGGACUUCAUCAUGCUGGGCAAAAAUUUGAAAGAGGCCAUGUUCACUGAGAGUUGUGGGUUGUUGCUUGUCAAGUUCCCAUCCGUUGCUGCUGAGCUCAGAGAGAGGCUACAUGACAGGAUUUAUGCGUGUGAGAAUGGAACAGAGUGA
rnacentral:rRNA from 1 species